rnacentral:misc_RNA from 1 species
UCCCGGUUAACCCGGGCAGUCUCUCUAGAGUGCCCAACUUAAUGCUGGCAACUAAAGAUAGGGGUUGCGCUCGUUGCGAGACUUAACCCAACAUUUCACAACACGAGCUGACGACAGCCAUGCAGCACCUGUCACUACAUUCCCUUGCGGGCACUCCGGUCAUUACACCAGAUUCGUAGGAUUUCAAGCCUAGGUAAGGUUCUGCGCGUUGCUUCGAAUUAAACCACAUAAUCCACCGCUUGUGCGGGCCCCCGUCAAUUUCUUUGAGUUUUAGUCUUGCGACCGUACUCCCCAGGCGGAGAACUUAAUGCGUUAGCUGCGUCACUGCAGGAGUCAAUACCCACAAUAACUAGUUCUCAUCGUUUACGGCGUGGACUAC